CCAGACGACAAGCAUCUCAACUAGCGUUACUUCCAGAAAAGUUCGACUAAAAAAUUUUUAACUUUAUUUUCGAUAUGCAGACCAUUUACAAACGACUACGCAACCGAGAUGUACCCUACACUCAAUUCGUGAAGAGGGCACGUCAAAGUGUGACCCCACAAACCCCGUUAACCGAAUCUCAAAAUCGCGAAUCUAACGAUCUCGAAACUAACGGUACUUCGAAUGCGCUUGUUCUAGAGAAUCCCGUCGCGAAUCUCGUUGAAAUCCGCGAAGAUCCAAAAGAGCUUGAUACGGAUGAAGUGUCGCAAUCGGAAUCUACGGAAACUAAUGACGAUCUGAAUGCGGUUGUUCCACCGGAUCCCCUACCAACUGGGUCUGAUAGUGAUAAUGCGUCGCUAUUUGGAUACUCGGAGGAUGAAGCUGAUAAUUUCAUAGCUAGGGAAUAUAUGAUUGUUCCAUUGCCACUCGUAAUUCGUGAUACUGAUAGUGAUAUUGUGUCUCAAUCUGGAUCCUCAGAAUAUGAAACUACAGAUCCUGAAGUCGAGAAUAAUCGCGAGACGGUUGUUCUAGUGCAUUCCGUCGCCGUGGGUGGUGACUCACAAAGUGACGAAUCGGCCGAGGGUAGUGAUACCGAUAGUGACGCAGUUUCCUUCGAGUUUGUUGAUUAAACCGGAUCCUUUUGCGAUAGAUCACAAAUUUUGUAUUUUAAAUAUUACUAUUUGCUAAAAAAUUUAAAAUUCCGCUCCCAAAAAAUGACGCACUAUCCGUAUCCCCAGGCGAUAGAUACCAAAAAAAAAAGAGUUCCAAAUCUUGUUUUGAAUUAUUAUUUGCAGAAAAAUUGAAAUUUCCGAGGGUGGUGUACCACAAAACGAAGAUCUAAUAGAGGGUGGUGACCCCGAAAAUCAUGCACUAUCUGGAUCCUUGGCUAGUGUAUUUAACUAGAUCCCUUUGCGUCAAAAAGAAGUUCUAAAUUUUUUUUUUUAAAUAAUAUCAUUUUCUGAAUUUUUGAUUUCCAUAAAAUUACGAACCACAAAAUGAUCGCUUUGCGCUAGAUACCAAAAAAAAAAGUUUACAAGUUUCAAAGUAUUAUUUUUUGAAAAAUUGAAAAUUGCGCACAGGUCGAUUGCCCUUUGAACCUGUUUGUGCCGACACCGACUGAAACAAAAGUCCACCAUUCUGGGACAAUGGAGCAGCGGCAGAUUCUAAGGCAUCAAAAGAACAGCGACUCGCAAUUUGGAAUCGGACCAAUUAGUUGUCCUUUGUCCUGGCACCUUUGUCGCCCGGAUUUUCGCAAACACACCCAAGGAGUCCUGUUUCAGGACGGAGGAUCCCUUUUAUAUUAUUCACCAUACCAUACACCAUACACCAUGGACCAUGGACCUUGGACCGUGGAGGGAGCGCAGCGGGCGUGCGGUGCGGAGAUCAGAGGAGCGGUCCGCCGCGGGGCGCCCUCAACUGAUGAUCAUUUCGACACCCCAUUUAUGCGGCGGCUUCUUGCAUUCUCCUCUCCGGUUCUCUCCAGUCAGCUCCUGUUCUCCGUGCACUGCGCAAAACUCUUACACGAUUUUCUGGUCUUAUGUUCAAGCGAAAUUUAAGAGAAAAAGAAAUACAAAUAAUUA